CAGGCUGAGCUCGCACGCAAGUUUCGGCCGUAGCCACGAGCCUGCAGCCGCUCGUGCACCCACGCGAGCGAAGAGGAUAGCGUUUCACUCCCGGUCGAUUCACACCCGCACUCGCGCCGCUCUCCUCACUCCUCUCAUCUUUCCUGCAAACAGAUCUCGCCGCCUCGCGAGCACAUCGCCGGCGCGCAUCCUCACCGCGCAGAGAUAGAUGACAACAGCAAGACCCGAGAUACACUGAAGCUUGUGGCGCUGAAGCUUCAAGGUUUACAAUUGGAUUUGUGGUUAUCUAAUAUGUGAACUCUGGUAUGUGUUGGACUGUAAUAUGGACGUGGCUCUAUAAUAUAUGAACUCUUUAGAUGUACUUGGACUGGAUACUUGAUUUAUGUGCACUCUUUAUUAUCCUGA